CUCAUUUUGGAAAAUUUUAUUAUUUUUGUUCCUAUCCCUAUCUCUAUCUUUGUUCGUUAGACUUAAAAGACUAUUUUUUGCUUCACUUGAGUUAGAAUGAGACUGUUGCGAGAAAUUAGAAUUAUUGUUGCUAAUGUUCUUGUGUGUCUCACAGUUAGAGGAAUUUGGAUUCAAAUUGAAGUCUAGGAAAUCUGUUAGAUAUGAAUGGCGUUAGUUGGGAUAACGAGCAUAUCUUCUUUAUUUUAUUUUAUUUUUAUCCUAUUUCUUUUUGUUUUGAAAAUUAGAACAAUUGAAUAAUAUUCCUAAAAAUCUGCUUCACUAGUCACAUUUCCCAUUGUUUCUCCCCAAUUUCCCCAUCCGUGUGUUUCAGUUUGUUCUCCAGUAAAGAAAUUCUAAAUUUUCUUCUUUCUUUCUUCCUCCUUUCAUACUUUAUUGUUUUCUUUGGCUAUCUCUCUUGCUUUUCCCCAAGCAAAGGUUGUUUUCAAUUUUGUUCUUAUUUAUCCUACUUACUGAAAUGAUGUUGCUCGUAACUUCUGUUAUUUGCAAUUUCUUUCUUGUUGUUUCGACCCUAUGCGUAUUCACGUUUGGGCAAGGAGAAGAUCGUGUGGCGAUUGGUUCUCCGACAAACUGGGUUCAUUUUAAGCUACGGAUUUGUUAAGAGGUAACCUACAGGCAUAAGACGAAUCGGUGCGACGUCGCUCGGUUAAAAACAUUUAAGUUGUGUUACUUUAAACUUUGUUUACUCUGUUUUGGUAUUGUUGGAUUGUUUUUGUUUUGAACUUUUAUUUUUUGUUUUGAACCGUUUUAAAAUUAAAAUUACUCUAUCAGCAAAA